AAAUUGAAGAGUUUGAUCAUGGCUCAGAUUGAACGCUGGCGGCAGGCCUAACACAUGCAAGUCGAACGGUAACAGGAAGCAGCUUGCUGUUUCGCUGACGAGUGGCGGACGGGUGAGUAAUGUCUGGGAAACUGCCUGAUGGAGGGGGAUAACUACUGGAAACGGUGGCUAAUACCGCAUAACGUCGCAAGACCAAAGAGGGGGACCUUCGGGCCUCUUGCCAUCAGAUGUGCCCAGAUGGGAUUAGCUUGUUGGUGAGGUAACGGCUCACCAAGGCGACGAUCCCUAGCUGGUCUGAGAGGAUGACCAGCCACACUGGAACUGAGACACGGUCCAGACUCCUACGGGAGGCAGCAGUGGGGAAUAUUGCACAAUGG
rnacentral:rRNA from 1 species